CUGACUAUUGCACAAAAAAAAUGAUCUUUAGGGCAUUCGUUAAGCCAAUACAUGUUAUAAUUAGAUUAAUGUAAAAUUACUCUCUAACAUUUUAUUUUUCUUCUUCUUUCAAAGCAUCUACUGCAUCUUAUUUUUCUUCUUCUUUCAAAGCAUCUAUUGCAAUUUCAACCCUUAUAUAUCAUCCUCCAACUAGUAAUUUGGUCUUUAGCAGCAGACUCAACUUAUAAGGACGUGCACUUUUAGAUCGAUGGGACACCGGGAAAAAGCAGCAGAAAUAUGAAAAAGGAGAGUCGCUGGAGCUGAGGCUUGGAAGAAGGAUGUUUCGUUGCAAGCUCUGCGAUCGCGAGUUCCUCACAUCGCAGGCAUUGGGAGGCCACCAGAAUGCUCACAAAAGGGAGAGAAGUAUGUAUGCACACUGUGUGGCCGCCUCAUUCGCCCUUCAGGAGUCCGCGGGGAGGGAAGACCUUGAUUUGGAACUUAAACUCUGAAUUUUGUGAGACAUAUGUUGUAAUCUGCUUUGUUUUUAUGUUUUCUUUGUAUUGUAUUGCUAGCUAUUUGGUAUGUGAAUAAGUUGUUAAAGAUCUUGGCCAA